UGGGGAAUUUUGCACAAUGGGGGAAACCCUGAUGCAGCGACGCCGCGUGAUUUACAAGGCCUUCGGGUUGUAAAUAUCUUUUGUAUAUGAAGAAAAUGACAGUACUAUACGAAUAAGGACCGGCUAAUUACGUGCCAGCAGCCGCGGUAAUACGUAAGGUCCGAGCGUUGUCCGGAAUCAUUGGGCGUAAAGGGUACGUAGGCGGGUAAGCAAGUUAGAAGUGAAAUCCUAUAGCUCAACUAUAGUAAGCUUUUAAAACUGCUCAUCUUGAGGUAUGGAAGGGAAAGUGGAAUUCCUAGUGUAGCGGUGAAAUGCGCAGAUAUUAGGAGGAACAGCGGUGGCGAAGGCGACUUUCUGGCCAUAACCUGACGCUGUGGUACGAAAGCGUGGGUAGCAAACAGG
rnacentral:rRNA from 1 species